GUCUACGGCCAUGUCACCCUGAACACAACCAAUCUCAUCUGAUCUCGGAAGCUAAGCAGAGUUGAGCCUGGUUAGUACUUGGAUGGGAGACCGCCUAGGACAACCAGGUGCUGUAGGCU
ensembl:rRNA 5S_rRNA 5S ribosomal RNA